GAAUAAGAAACAAAAUAUUGUGUUUAGUUUCGACCUAAAAUUUUGGCUACAGCCCUUAUUUA
rnacentral:tRNA from 1 species